AAGGUUGCUGUGAAAUAAAAAGGAGCCAAUGGGAGGAAAGCACUUGGCACAGUUGCCUGGCACAUAGAACGUGCUCAAUAAAUAUUAGCUGCUGCUAUUUCAGUGCCCCUCCCGCCAACUUUCCUGGCAGGAAUCAAACUGAACGUAUGUGGAGGCAGAAUGGAGUAAGCCGCCAACAUCUCACCUCGGCGGGUCUCGUUGCAAACACAUCACUCCUGCCCCUGCAGUGACCUCCCGUGUCAAUAAAGCCUCGGUCCUUCUCUGCAAAUGCUCGGAGAGUACAAAGCAGAUGGAACCCUACAGCACACAUGUUCUCUAGAGACGACAGCGGGGAAGGAAAACCUGAGUUGCAGAUUCUGGACUUAAAUAAUCAGCCUUUCUGGGACCCUGACUCCACUUUGGAAUUUUAGAGAGAGAGCUGGUGGCUGGGAGAUGAUCCACCUGACUGUAAACUUCAUGAAGGGACCAGUUGCGAUUAUUUCUUGACCAUCUAGCAUGUGUCAGGCACUAUGCUGAGUACUCCACAGGCAUCGCCUCAUUUACUCCCCCCAAUAACCAUAGGAGAAAAAUGUUAUUGUCCUCACUUCACAGAUGAAGAAACGGAAGUUCAGCAUCAGCAAGGAACUUAGCCAAGACUGCACAGCCAGGAAACGGAAGCGCCAGGGUUGAAAUGAGGUCAUCUGCCUCCAGCAUCCACACAGUUAACACCUCUGCCACAGAGUGGUCAACAUUCCUCCCUUUGGAAAUGUUUAUUCAUGGAGUACCAACUUUUCUAAGCCUUGGGGAUGCUGAGAUGAACUCCAUAGGCAGAGACCUGAACUCAUGGAACUCACAUCGUGGUGGUAACCCCGAUACAUAUACAAGUAAAGGUUUUUGAAAAUCAAGAGAACUCAGAACUCCUACCAGAUUCCAUCAAUGCCCCCUUGCAACAAGGCUCCUCAGCCCAUUUCACUAGCCAGGUCAUGGCAUGACUUGGCCAUCUCAGCUGGGCUCAUGUGGUCAAGAGCGAAGACCCAGAUUGGACAGUGGGGAGACCAGACUAGGUUCCAAACAAUUAGCCCCCAGAGAUACCUGUUUUGAUGAACUAUCCCCUGUGAAUGUGUUUUCUCAAAGCAUCUGUGGGUGUUCUCCUGGGUGCUAAUGUUUUCCCGGUGGCUGUUAUUCCCAGGGGCGCUGUGGUUUACUGCAGCCCGAGGACAGUAGCUUCUUUCAUCAGCACACAAAGGAACUUUAGGCUGGGGCAAACAUUCUGUUUCAUGUUCCAAGGUGGAGACGAAUGUAUAAAGGCUAGUUUCCUUAUAGUUUCGUCGUCUGCUUAUGAAUCUGGCUCCCACAUUAAUUUAUUAAAAGGGGGGUUUAUGUUUCAUUCAGUGUUAGACCUC
rnacentral:lncRNA from 1 species